GAUGAACGCUGGCGGCGUGCCUAAUACAUGCAAGUCGAACGCACAGCGAAAGGUGCUUGCACCUCUCAAGUGAGUGGCGAACGGGUGAGUAACACGUGGACAACCUGCCUCAAGGCUGGGGAUAACAUUUGGAAACAGAUGCUAAUACCGAAUAAAACUUAGUGUCGCAUGACACAAAGUUAAAAGGCGCUUUGGUGUCACCUAGAGAUGGAUCCGCGGUGCAUUAGUUAGUUGGGGGGGUAAAGGCCUACCAAGACAAUGAUGCAUAGCCGAGUUGAGAGACUGAUCGGCCACAUUGGGACUGAGACACGGCCCAAACUCCUACGGGAGGCUGCAGUAGGGAAUCUUCCACAAUGGGCGAAAGCCUGAUGGAGCAACGCCGCGUGUGUGAUGAAGGCUUUCGGGUCGUAAAGCACUGUUGUAUGGGAAGAACAGCUAGAAUAGGGAAUGAUUUUAGUUUGACGGUACCAUACCAGAAAGGGACGGCUAAAUACGUGCCAGCAGCCGCAGUAA
rnacentral:rRNA from 1 species